rnacentral:lncRNA from 1 species
AGCCCAGGACAUGAAACAUCCUUUUGUCUAGCAUAUCCACAUUGUGGAGGCUACUCCGUCCUCAGUCACUUAGUUUCUGUCUCAUCAUCAGAUCGAAAAACACACUAACCCAGGCACAACAGGAAUACAACCUUUUACUACAGAUGUGGGAUUGUUCAUGUCAUCUACUAAUGCAAGAUGGAUCUGAGAACGCUGUCUGGGCUUGGUACCAAGAGCUGGUAUUUCACAGCAGCGACCGCCUCACAGACGAGCUGUGGGAAGCAGGAGGGAGACUCUCUCUUAGGGUGCCACUACUAUGGAGACACAGCUGGGCUGAACAAGAUUUGCUUCAAACGACAACAAGAGAGACAGAAAGUAUCUGGUUCAACCGCUGCCCGAGCAGGCAGGCACCAGAAGAGCUAGCAGCCAAUCCGGCCAUGCUCGAAGCCAGCUCUGCAGCUCAGCCAAUCAGUGACAUCAUUGCUUUCUUUAGCUUGCCCAUGGUGAUGUGAAGAUGAGAAGAAAUAGCAAGGCCCAACCAGUUCUUCAUCUGGAGACAGUUCAACGUUCUGCAAACCAGAUCUUCAGGAAUUUUACUGGGAUAAUUAUCCAAAUAAAUUGCAAGCAUUCUAUCCAAAUGGAGCUCUUUCUGAGAUGAAGAGAAUUCUCAAUGUCAAGAUUUGAACAAGAAGAGAAUGGAAUACACAAUAUGGACAUCCAUAAAAAUUCAUCAGAGAGCAUUUUACUACUGAGCUGCAAAGGGAAAAACUUAAAAUGGAUAUGAAAAGUGAAGAAAGUGAUCAUAGGAGAAAACCAUUUCAGGUGUCUGAUGAUUUGUGAGCCUCAAGUGACUACUCUGUGGAAUCAUCUGUCCUUGCCUUUGAAUUAGCUUUCCCUAGGCCAUGAGUCAACAUUAGUAGUUUAUACAUCCAAAUUGAUGACAAGAGCACCUCAAAGGCAGCAGCCUCAAGGAGCAGCCAUGGCCCCAGACUUGUCGCACGGAUGCAGAAAACUUAAUGGAGGAGGCUGAGGUCAGAAUGGGAAGAGUUUUUAAAAAAUAAAAAGGGGAGCUAAUAUGUGA